rnacentral:rRNA from 1 species
AUUGAACGCUGGCGGCAGGCCUAACACAUGCAAGUCGAACGGUAACAGGAAGAAGCUUGCUUCUUUGCUGACGAGUGGCGGACGGGUGAGUAAUGUCUGGGAAACUGCCUGAUGGAGGGGGAUAACUACUGGAAACGGUAGCUAAUACCGCAUAACGUCGCAAGACCAAAGAGGGGGACCUUCGGGCCUCUUGCCAUCGGAUGUGCCCAGAUGGGAUUAGCUAGUAGGUGGGGUAACGGCUCACCUAGGCGACGAUCCCUAGCUGGUCUGAGAGGAUGACCAGCCACACUGGAACUGAGACACGGUCCAGACUCCUACGGGAGGCAGCAGUGGGGAAUAUUGCACAAUGGGCGCAAGCCUGAUGCAGCCAUGCCGCGUGUAUGAAGAAGGCCUUCGGGUUGUAAAGUACUUUCAGCGGGGAGGAAGGGAGUAAAGUUAAUACCUUUACUCAUUAACGUUACCCGCAGAAGAAGCACCGGCUAACUCCGUG